GUGAGGAAUAUUGGUCAAUGGGCGGGAGCCUGAACCAGCCAAGUCGCGUGAAGGAAGAAGGAUCUAUGGUUCGUAAACUUCUUUUGCAGGGGAAUAAAGUGCAGGACGUGUCCUGUUUUGUAUGUACCCUGAGAAUAAGGAUCGGCUAACUCCGUGCCAGCAGCCGCGGUAAUACGGAGGAUCCGAGCGUUAUCCGGAUUUAUUGGGUUUAAAGGGUGCGUAGGUGGUUUGAUAAGUCAGCGGUGAAAGUUUGCAGCUUAACUGUAAAAAUGCCGUUGAAACUGUCGGACUUGAGUGUAAAUGAGGUAGGCGGAAUGCGUGGUGUAGCGGUGAAAUGCAUAGAUAUCACGCAGAACUCCGAUUGCGAAGGCAGCUUACUAAGCUACAACUGACACUGAAGCACGAAAGCGUGGGGAUCAAACAGGAUUAGAAACCCUUGUAGUCC
rnacentral:rRNA from 1 species